AUCUAGUUGACGAAUCCCAAAUAGGAUGGAAUGCGCGUCCUGGAU
rnacentral:hammerhead_ribozyme from 1 species